AAUCCUCCAUGCAAAGCGUUAAAAACGACAUCGAGGCCCAGCGUGUCUACCACUGUUUUCAGCUCAACAGUGACGUCAUCGAUACAUCCGUCACAGAGACAGGAGAAGACAAACACACCGCAAAAUCCAAAAGAAAACCCUGGCCAAAGACGAACGCCUGGACCGAACCUCCCGGACUAUAAAGUCCCUCGAGGCGGGAGGAGUCUGGAAACAGACGCCAUUGUGGGGAUUCUUGUAGGGAUGUUUAUUCUGAUCGCCAUCAUCGCUUGGACAGUGCACAUUUGCUCUAAAAAGAAAUCUGAACCAAAGGUCGUUGUUGUCCAGAUAUAAUCCUUAAAUCUUGUAAAAAACAAACGUUGGCAGGGAACAUUCAACUUCUAGCACCCUUCAUCUCAACAUGUUGCAGAGAGAUUGGAAAUGGCAGAGACUUGAUACACAACGUUUUACAAAAAAAUAAUCCGAUUCAUAAACCUGCA